UCCUGGUGGCUCAGAUGGUUAAGCUCCUGCCUGCAACGUGGGAGACCCAGGUUCAAUCCCUGGGUCAGGAA
rnacentral:tRNA from 1 species